CAGAGUUCAUGCCCUUACGGGUAGAUCUCCCACCCUUGAAUACUAUACCUUCGUUGCUUUGGCAGGCCGUGGAAACACCACGGGCCUCGGCUAGUGCGUGCCUGCCAGAGGAAACAAACUCUGUUUUUAGUGAUGUCUGAGUACUAUAUAAUAGUUA
rnacentral:misc_RNA from 1 species